AUUGGGCCUAAAGCGUCCGUAGCUGGCCGCACAAGUCCGUCGGGAAAUCCGCCCGCUCAACGGGCGGCCGUCCGGCGGAACCUGUGUGGCUUGGGACCGGGAGGCCUGAGGGGUACGAUCGGGGUAGGAGUGAAAUCCUGUAAUCCCGCUCGGACCGCCGAUGGGGAAACCACCUCAGGAGAACGGAUCCGACAGUGAGGGACGAAAGCCAGGGUCGUCGAACC
rnacentral:rRNA from 1 species